UACGGGGGGAGCAAGCGUUGUUCGGAUUUACUGGGCGUAAAGGGCGCGUAGGCGGCCACCGCAAGUCGACUGUGAAAUCUCCGGGCUUAACUCGGAAAGGUCAGCCGAUACUGCGGGGCUAGAGUGCAGAAGGGGCAACUGGAAUUCUCGGUGUAGCGGUGAAAUGCGUAGAUAUCGAGAGGAACACCUGCGGCGAAGGCGGGUUGCUGGGCUGAUACUGACGCUGAUGCGCGAAAGCCAGGGGAGCGAACGGG
rnacentral:rRNA from 1 species